rnacentral:rRNA from 2 species
CUCUGACACCCUAGAGAUAGGGCUUUCCCCUUCGGGGGACAGAGUGACAGGUGGUUGCAUGGNUUGUCGUCAGACUCGUGUCGUGAGNAUGUUGGGUUAAGUCCCGCAACGAGCGCAACCCUUGAUCUUAGUUGCCAGCAUUCAGUUGGGCACUCUAAGGUGACUGCCGGUGACAAACCGGAGGAAGGUGGGGAUGACGUCAAAUCAUCAUGCCCCUUAUGACCUGGGCUACACACGUGCUACAAUGGAUGGUACAAAGGGCUGCAAACCUGCGAAGGUAAGCGAAUCCCAUAAAGCCAUUCUCAGUUCGGAUUGCAGGCUGCAACUCGCCUGCAUGAAGCCGGAAUCGCUAGUAAUCGCGGAUCAGCAUGCCGCGGUGAAUACGUUCCCGGGCCUUGUACACACCGA